rnacentral:tRNA from 1 species
AAGGAUUUAAGUUAAAUUAAACUAAUAGCCUUCAAAGCUGCAAAUAGACUAUUAUCUAAGCCUUA